UAUUAUUUUAUCUUUUUUAGUUUUAUAUUUUAAUUAUCAGUUGCAAUUAGUGCUACAUAAAGGCCCUUACCUAGAGAAUAGGACCCAAAAUAAAUUGAGAAUUAUUUACUAGGCUUGUAAUCCUGUUUUCUCUUCUCCUAGAUUGUAUGUUGACUGCCUGCUAUUCCCCUUUCUUCUUACUUCUUCACCUUGUUCCUCGUCUCCUCUCUAUGUUCUAUCUUUUGUUAAGUGUACAAUACUUUUGAGACCAAAUUGUUAUUAACAUGAUGAUAUGACAAUUAUUGUUGUUUUUUGACUAAUCGUUUAUUUCCAUCAUUUGAACAUCCUUCUCUUGCAGUUUUAAUUAUAAACCAUUGAUCGAUUUUUAUGCACUGUUGUGAAUGGUAUUCAAAACCCCAUUGCUUGUUAUGGUUGGCUCUUUACAUUUGGCAAGCGUGAGAAUCUCAUGUCCGCAGGAACCAUUUGAAUGCUACCAUAUGCUGGAUAUUGAAGUUGGUCUAGGGCUGAAGAGGAAACAUUUGAUAGCUAUCUCACUUUUGGUUGGAAAUGACCAUGACCUACAUGGGGUGCAAUGAAUUGGGCUUUGACACAGCUCUUCAGUUUGUCGAAAAUUUUAGUGAAGAGGAGAUAUUGGAUAGGUCUGCCUCUAAGCUGGAUUUAAAUAUUAUGUGAAAUAGGCCAGGGCAUUACACCAGUAGGCCAGGGCUAAUUAAGUCUUUAAAUGAUGUCGAGCACAGUUCAGAAGAGAGCUUGCACUAUGCAAGAUCUUCUCAAUGUUCCUUUUGUGGGCAUCCUGGCAACAAGAAAGCACAUUUCAAGUUUCCUUGUGAAUAUUUUGGUCCUGGUAUUGACGGUUGUAUAUAGAAUUCGGCAGGGUUUAAAUGUACGUGUCCCCUUUGAAAAGCAACUGAUGGCAAUUCUAUAUCUUGGGGAAGCCCAAAAACUGAAAUGCUGGUCGGUUUCUUGGCUUAUCACCAGCUCUGGGAGCCAUCUUAUAUUCGUCAGAGAAUGCUUCCUAUGUUGUCCACUAUAUAUUUAAGAGAAAUAUGGCUAGAAAUCCAAUGAAGACCUUGUUAUAUGGGCAAUCUGGCUUUUAUUCUAUCCACUGCAGAAAGAUUCGGUAUGGGCAUCAAUUUUUUGUGGUCAAAUGGCAGAAAGCUACGCCCCUGUCAAGUAAUGUCGUCAACACAUUGCCAGUUAAGCUGCGGCCUACCAAUGCUAGUUUUGGAACUGGAAUAAUCAAAAAGAAGAAAGAAUCCAAGCUUGAGAUAUGAAGAGUCUGUCAAAAAAUCAGAAUCACCAAAUUCCGAAGGUAUCCAACUGAAUAUUACCGAAUUUUACCGCUCAACAAAAGUACAAGUUCAGACAAAAUUAGGAGAAGGUACAAACAAGAAUGCUGAUUCUGGUGGCAGUACAUUGAAUGAGAAGAGGAAGACAUCAAACUAUAACCUCUCUAAGGCCACAAGACAGUCGCCUUUUGUUGGAAUGGGACAUGGGAGACUGAUUUUGGAUAGCUCAGGGAAAAUGCUACUCAAGAUGUGAAGUUGUGUUUUAUAAAUGGGAUUUAGUAAUUGGGUAGAAAUUUUGACUUGGGAAGAUGUUAGUUGAAUGAAAUUUGGUAAUUAGAUAGAAACAUGAACUAAUUGGAAUUAGUAUAUUUUAUGACCUUGUACAAUUUAGGGUUUGCCUCUGGCCUGUCCUGAAAGAAUCAUACCUACAUAUUUAACUUAUAAAAA